rnacentral:rRNA from 1 species
UAAGGAAUAUUGGACAAUGGAGGCAACUCUGAUCCAGCCAUGCCGCGUGAAGGAAUAAGGCCCUAUGGGUUGUAAACUUCUUUUAGACGGGACAAAACCCCUUUACGUGUAAAGGGUUGAUGGUACUGUCAGAAUAAGCAUCGGCUAACUUCGUGCCGGCAGCCGCGGUAAUACGAAGGAUGCAAGCGUUAUCCGGAAUUCUUGGGUUUAAAGGGUGCGUAGGCGGACUAAUAAGUCAGUGGUGAAAGCCUGCAGCUUAACUGCAGAAUUGCCAUUGAUACUGGUAGUCUUGAGUAUAGUUGAGGUAGGCGGAAUGUGUCAUGUAGCGGUGAAAUGCUUAGAUAUGACACAGAACACCGAUUGCGAAGGCAGCUUGCUAAGCUGUAACUGACGCUGAGGCACGAAAGCGUG